rnacentral:rRNA from 1 species
GUCGAGAAUCUUUCACAAUGGGGGCAACCCUGAUGGAGCGACGCCGCGUGGAGGAUAAGGUCUUCGGAUUGUAAACUCCUGUCAUGCGUGAACAAGGUUGCUUGGUUAAUACCUGGGCAAAUUGAUGGUAACGCAAGAGGAAGAGACGGCAAACUCUGUGCCAGCAGCCGCGGUAAUACAGAGGUCUCAAGCGUUGUUCGGAAUUAUUGGGCGUAAAGGGCGCGUAGGCGGGAAGGUGUGUCGACCUGUAAAUCUAUCGUUUCAAGCGGUAGGCUUGGGUUGAAACUGCCUUUCUAGAGGAUUUCAGGGGAGUUUGGAAUUUACGGUGUAGCAGUGAAAUGCGUGGAUAUCGUAAGGAAGGCUUGUGGCGAAGGCGAAACUCUGGGGAAUACCUGACGCUGAGGCGCGAAGGCUAGGUUAGCAAACGGGAUUAGAUACCCUUGUAGUCC